AUUGAACGCUGGCGGCAGGCCUAACACAUGCAAGUCGAACGGUAACAGGAAGUAGCUUGCUACUUUGCUGACGAGUGGCGGACGGGUGAGUAAUGUCUGGGGAUCUGCCUGAUGGAGGGGGAUAACUACUGGAAACGGUAGCUAAUACCGCAUAAUGUCGCAAGACCAAAGCGGGGGACUUUCGGGCCUCGCACCAUCAGAUGAACCCAGAUGGGAUUAGCUAGUAGGUAAGGUAAUGGCUUACCUAGGCGACGAUCCCUAGCUGGUCUGAGAGGAUGACCAGCCACACUGGAACGGAGACACGGUCCAGACUCCUACGGGAGGCAGCAGUGGGGAAUAUUGCACAAUGGGCGCAAGCCUGAUGCAGCCAUGCCGCGUGUAUGAAGAAGGCCUUCGGGUUGUAAAGUACUUUCAGUCAGGAGGAAGGGUGUGAAAUUAAUACUUUCAUACAUUGACGUUACUGACAGAAGAAGCACCGGCUAACUCCGUGCCAGCCGCCGCAGUAA
rnacentral:rRNA from 1 species